CCUACGGGUGGCAGCAGUGAGGAAUAUUGGUCAAUGGGCGUAAGCCUGAACCAGCCAAGUCGCGUGAGGGAUGAAGGUUCUACGGAUCGUAAACCUCUUUUAUAAGGGAAUAAAGUGCGGGACGUGUCCCGUUUUGUAUGUACCUUAUGAAUAAGGAUCGGCUAACUCCGUGCCAGCAGCCGCGGUAAUACGGAGGAUCCGAGCGUUAUCCGGAUUUAUUGGGUUUAAAGGGUGCGUAGGCGGCAUUUUAAGUGUGCUGUGAAAGGUUGUGGCUCAACCAUGGAAUUGCCGUUGAAACUGGGGGGCUUGAGUAUGCGUAAGGCAGGCGGAAUGCGUGGUGUAGCGGUGAAAUGCUUAGAUAUCACGCAGAACCCCGAUUGCGAAGGCAGCUUGC
rnacentral:rRNA from 1 species